rnacentral:misc_RNA from 1 species
GAAAUGCGAUAAGUAAUGCGAAUUGCAGAAUUUCCGUGAGUCAUCGAAUCUUUGAACGCACAUUGCGCCCAUUGGCAUUCCGAUGGGCAUGCCUGUUCGAGCGUCAUUAUCCUCCCUCAACCCCCCGGGGUUUGGUGUUGGACUCUGUUGUGCGGCUUGUCUCUAGCUUUGCUGGAGACUCGCCUUAAAGUAAUUGGCAGCCGGCGUAUUGAUUUCGGAGCGCAGUACAUCUCGCGCUUUGCACUCAUAACGACGACGUCCAAAAGUACAUUUUUACACUCUUGACCUCGGAUCAGGUAGGGAUACCCGCUGAACUUAA